UGGAGACAUGGCUCAGUGGUAGAGGGCUUGCUGAGCAUGUGCAAGGGCGUGGGUUCCAUCCCCACCUCUGCAA
rnacentral:tRNA from 1 species